AUACUACUUCCUCCGUCCAACAAAGGAUGUCUCAACUUUGACUAAAUUUGAAUGCAUCUAUACACUAAGUCAUGUCUAGAUACAUCCAAAUUUUGACAAACUUGAGACAUCUUUUGUUGGACGGAGGGAGUACUUG
rnacentral:pre_miRNA from 1 species